ACUGAGGACAGGUAAUACUACUGAAGACAGGUAAUACUACUGAGGACAGGUAAUACUACUGAAGACAGGUAAUACUACUGAGGACAGGUAAUGCUACAGAGGACAGGUAAUACUACUGAAGACAGGUAAUACCACUGAAGACAGGUAAUACUGCUGAAGACAGGUAAUACCACUGAAGACAGUUAAUACUACUGAAGACAGGUAAUACUACUGAAGACAGUUAAUACUACUGAAGACAGGUAAUACUACUGAAGACAGGUAAUACUAUUGAGGACAGGUAAUACUACUGAAGACAGGUAAUACCACUGAAGACAGGUAAUACUGCUGAAGACAGGUAAUACCACUGAAGACAGUUAAUACUACUGAAGACAGGUAAUACUACUGAAGACAGUUAAUACUACUGAGGACAGGUAAUACUACUGAAGACAGGUAAUACUGAAGACAUGUAAUACUAUUGAGGACAGGUAAUACCACUGAAGACAGUUAAUACUACUGAAGACAGGUAAUACUACUGAAGACAGUUAAUACUACUGAGGACAGGUAAUACUACUGAAGACAGGUAAUACUGAAGACAUGUAAUACUAUUGAGGACAGGUAAUACCACUGAAGACAGUUAAUACUACUGAAGACAGGUAAUACUACUGAAGACAGUUAAUACUACUGAGGACAGGUAAUACUACUGAAGACAGGUAAUACUGAAGACAUGUAAUACUAUUGAGGACAGGUAAUACUACUGAGGACAGGUAAUACUACUGAAGACAGGUAAUACCACUGAGGACAGGUAAUACUAUUGAGGACAGGCAAUACCACUGAAGACAGGUAAUACUACUAAGGACAGGUAAUACUACUGAAGAAAGGUAAUACUACUGAAGACAGGUAGUACUACUGAAGACAGGUAAUACUACUGAAGACAGGUAAUACCACUGAAGACAGGUAAUACUACUGAAGACAGGUAAUACUACUGAAGACAGGUAAUACUACUGAAGACAGGUAAUACUACUGAAGACA